GAUGAUGAUGAGGACGACAAACGCCAGGAGGAGGAAGGCGGUGAGGACGAAGCCCAGAGGCAAGAGAAAGUGCUGUCUGUGGUCGGGAAGGACGACGUUGAUGACCCGCGGUGACUCCCCUUUGUUGGCAUCUGAAAGUUGAGGGGCGGCCAUUGCUGCGCGGUUCUCUGAGUUCCCCAUGGUACGACCCUGAAGUGGAAAACUGACGUGUGGAGUUGAGUCUCAUUUUCAUAAGUUUCAUUAUAAAAAAAUACAAAAAUAAGGAUGUAAAGUUUGCUUCGCACUGGAGAUAGGCAACGUCUACACAUCCGUGUUCGCAUGGUUUUUGUCAUAUACUGUACAAGAAUGAGCCCAAGAUGAAUCGGUUGAAAACUUUUUUUUCAUAUUCGUGUGAUCUAUAAACCUGUAUGGCACAAGUGCACACCCUCUUAUAACUGGGCAUUUGGCUGUUUUCAAAAUUAUGUCAUCAGAUUCACACUCUCGUUAAAUGGGAGUCAGGCCACAUCUGCCAUUGUUAAAAGUUCCUCUGAAUAACUCCAAAUUACGUUCAGAUGUUUUAGUAGCCUUUUCCUGACAUUUUUUUUCGAAGCCCGAAGAGUUUGUGCUAAAAUGAACUGUUCAAAACAACUCCCACCUUUUUCUAAAGCCUGAAAAAAAAUAGACCCGAAGCAGGAUGCAGCCACCGCCAUGCGCCGGUGCGAUUACGCCGAACAUGCCUUUUGGAAUGAGAAACUUCAAACUUGUUUUCAUUGGUCUGUAACAAAAUCCCCCAAAGACAUGGGAAAUUGUGUUACGGUCUGAUGAAAACAAGGUUGAACUUCAAAGCGGGGGUUCACACGUAUGCAAUCACAUUAUCUUCAAUGUUUACUUUUAUUUACCCUCUCAAAAAUAAAUGUAUACAAAUGAAUUGAACUGUACGUGCUAUAAGUCAUAUUAAUGGUGGAUUAUCUUGGGCUCAUGUUUCUUUAAUAUCACAAAAAAUGGCAUUUAAACAGGGCUGUUUAGACUUUUUAUGACCACUGUGUUUGCCAGGUGAAAUCUUUUCAACCUGUAGGCAAAUGUUUUCUUUUUUCUUUUUUUUCUUUUUUUAAUGAAUGUGGGGUUAACUUAUUGUUACACUUGUAUGACAGUUGAGAAUGUUAACAACUUACUUGCCCGUAGAGGGUUUAAGGUUGACCCUGGAACAGAUGAUCUGUUUUUUGUGUCAAAUUUAUUAUAAUCCGUCAAAAGGAAAUUAAACUUUUCCACGAUAAUUAAAUCAUAAGUGGAAACCCUGUUUUUGAAGGUUCUUCUGUAGCUCUGGGAGUGGAGGAUUAAUUGUGAGGGCAGAGAUGGAUUUCAACUCCUGUGGAUAAAAUUCUACUGGAAUGAGAUCAUAUUGGCACACACACACGCACACACACACACACACACACACACACACACACACACACACACACACACACACACACACACACACACACACACACACACACACACACACACACGCACGCACACACAACCUAACCACAGGAAUUUCCCCCAAACCUUCGGAAUAAUUUUGCCACAUUUAUACAUCUACCAUUAUCAGCUAGGGCUAAAAACAGACUGUCUGCAUUCACUCUUUCACCUCUUCUUUCCUACACGGAGAAAUGUGAAGUCAGAAAUGUCCACAUCAACAAAAGAAUGUGCUUGAUGCAACCAAAACAACACCACUUCCUGUAAUAGACUCAGGCAAAUACACAAACAGACUCAGGAUGGGAGGAGGCAAUUAAAUGUCCGCAAUGAGAAAGGCUUAAAAAAAAAUAAUAGUGGCGAGUAAGCAAGACCCUAGAUGGUAACCGGGUGGUAGUGCGUGUGCGGUUUUGAGGAAUCUGGCGUCAGACACGCUGAGAGAGCAAGAAAAACAAAUGAAACAAACAGAAAAAGGGACUUUCUCACGUUGAGGGGAUGGAAGGUGAAGUCACAGCAGUUUUGAAGCCGAGAGAAUCAAAAUGAGGUGAAGAACAGAUGUGAAGUUUUGUUUUCUUUUUGCGCUUAAUUGUUCUCGUGAUAGUUUUAGUUCAGGUCUGUUAAAGCACUCACGGUGACCUGGCGUGCGCGCAUGUGUCUAUGUGUGAGAAAUAGAGAGAGAGAGCGAGGGGGAGUAAGUACACAGUGGUGAGUAAUCACUUUUACUGUACUUGUUUUUUUUCAGUGUCUGUUUGAGGGUAUAGACUUGCUUGUUUUAGUUGUUGAUAACUUAACCGAUAGGUCCAAAUGGAAUGCAGAACCAUGUGAUGUGUCCCAGCCAAUCAGGAAGGGCAUACAAAAGAAAAAAUCCGAACCCACCACCAACUUUUUCUUUGUGACUUCUUUUUCUCAGCAGUCACUUUUUUAAAGAAAAAAACGUUCAUAUUAGUUCAGCAGUCACCUCCUACAGAUGAUAAAUGUUGAUAUUCAUUCAUACGUUUCUGAUAACGCCCACCAAAACAAUGUACCGGUAUUUGUUUUUGUGUUUCACUAAUUGUCACUCUGGGAAAAAAAGAAGCAACAGUACAUUAUUUUUUUCUAAAAUAUAGUUGAAAUAUGGUUGGCUGACUCAGCAUCAGUUAUUAUUAUUUUUGCCUAGGAAAGAUAAAUUGGAAUGUAUGGAAAUGGUUGAUGUGAAAAUAUUGAUGAAAGUCAAAGCU